GAGGAAUAUUGGUCAAUGGGCGCGAGCCUGAACCAGCCAAGUAGCGUGCAGGAUGACGGCCCUAUGGGUUGUAAACUGCUUUUGUAUGGGGAUAAAGUCAAUCACGUGUGAUUGUUUGCAGGUACCAUACGAAUAAGGACCGGCUAAUUCCGUGCCAGCAGCCGCGGUAAUACGGAAGGUCCGGGCGUUAUCCGGAUUUAUUGGGUUUAAAGGGAGCGUAGGCCGGAGAUUAAGUGUGUUGUGAAAUGUAGACGCUCAACGUCUGACUUGCAGCGCAUACUGGUUUCCUUGAGUACGCACAACGUUGGCGGAAUUCGUCGUGUAGCGGUGAAAUGCUUAGAUAUGACGAAGAACUCCGAUUGCGAAGGCAGCUGACGGGAGCGCAACUGACGCUUAAGCUCGAAGGUGCGGGUAUCGAACAGGAUUAGAUACCCUGGUAGUCCGCACAGUGAACGAUGGAUGCCCGCUGUUGGUACCUGGUAUCAGCGGCUAAGCGAAAGCAUUAAGCAUCCCACCUGGGGAGUACGCCGGCAACGGUG
rnacentral:rRNA from 1 species